UAACCUGAGAGUUUGAUCCUGGCUCAGAACGAACGCUGGCGGCAUGCCUAACACAUGCAAGUCGAACGCCUGUAGCAAUACAGGAGUGGCAGACGGGUGCAUAACACGUGGGAACCUACCCUUGGGU
rnacentral:rRNA from 1 species